AUCAUAAUAAAGGAGGUGAAAUAUAUGUUUGAUUUACUUGCUUUAUUAACUGGAAUUUCAGUUCGUGGCAAUGCACCACACCAAUAAUUACGUGUUUGUUUAACUGAAUUUCUGACGGCUCUACCUAUGCCAGUAGGUGGAGCCAUUUUUUUAUUUAAUAUUAUAAAAUUAACAGUAUUACUAAAACCUCAUACUUAGUAUAACACAAAUUAUAAAUUAUGCUAGAUAGUUACUAAAUUAACGUCAUUACAAGGAUGUUACGUUUUUACAACAUCUUGUAAAACUAGACAAUGCUGUCCUUCUUUAUCCAUCACACUCAAUGAUAGUGAUAGUAUCUUAUGAUAGAAACAACAUGUACAUUAUAACAAUUAUUAUUAAGAAAGCUACUUCUCAAUAGGAGAAGUAGCGCUUCUCUCGU
rnacentral:misc_RNA from 1 species